UGCAUUUUUAGUAAAGUCAGGGUUUUGCCACUCCAGGCUGGUCUCAAACUCCUGAUCUUCAGUGAUGCAACCCCUUUGGCCUUCCAAAGUGUUGGGAUUACAGGCUUGAGCCACCACUCCCGGCCUGUUAUGUAAUCUUUUAAACACAUAAAAGCCCUUCUUUCUCGCAGGCUGUGCAGAAGCCGGCUGCGGGCUGGGUGUGGCUCAUUGCUCAUCAUUUACCACCGCCGAGCCAUACCUUAGGUGGCAAAUGCUUGAGAUGGAACUUUGGCGGGAUGGUGAGCUGGGGAUUCUAUGGUGUGGCCAUGGCCAGCUUUGAGGAGAAGGUACAGUUCAAGCAAGAGCCAUGGGGCCAGUGUGGAGAGAGCUCCAGGUGGGGGCUCCACUGCACAGAGGCCUGGGAGAGGGAUGUGCCUGACCUGUUUGUUUUGGAGAUGGAGUCUCAUUCUCUUUCACCCAGGCUAGAGGGCUGUGGUGUGAUCUCAGCUCACUGCAACCUCUCUCAAAUUCAAGUGAUUCUCCUGCCUCAGCCUGCCAAGUAGCUGGGAUUACAAGCAUUCACCACCAUACCCAGCUAAUUUUUGUAUGUUUAGUAGAGACGGGGUUUCACUAUAUUAGCCAGGCUGGUCUCAGAAUCCUGGGCUCCAGAGACUUGGUGCUGGGAUUACAGGCAUGAGCCACCUUGCCUGGCCUGUUUGAAUAGCAAGGUGGUGGGGCUGAUGUGAACUGGGAGGUUCCAAGGCUAGGAGAUGAGGGGAGGACUCUGGCUUCUGCUCUGACCUAGGAAGGAUGUGAUCACCCUUUCACUUCAAAAGGCCCCUUUGGUCCCUGUGUUGAGAACACGGAGGUGAUGAUAGAAAUGGGGAACUUAGUCUAGAGCAGGGGCUUGGGGACCAAAUAUCCUUUUUUCUCACAGCAAUGAGGCCCACCAGGAACUGGGCUACAGGCAAGGGGUCUGCCCCUUCUCCCAUGCUGAUGGCCUUGCAGAACAUCUGGACUCUGGCUCUGCCUCUUCCUGGGAUUCCUCUGCAUUGGCUCUGUGUGCCUCCGUUUCCCCAGCUGUAGAAUAGGGACUAGACCCACAUCAUGGGGAAAAGGCUCCACAUAAUACAAGUUCCUGCUCCUUCCACCUUGCGGUCAGAAUGUAGGCUGAGGAAGGGAAAAGCUCCCAGGGCGAGAUUUUAGCUUGGUUGAAUCACCUGCCUGGUUAUUCGCCUACCUGGUGAGUGGGAUCUCGUGGGGGUGUCAAAAAAUGGAUUUAACUGGCAGUGAGGGUGUUGAAGCUGCUUCCUGUCCCCAGCUGCUGGGCCUCUGGGCUCCCUAAAAGGUAAGUGAGUCCACCUGCUUAUCCCCCUCACUGGCCCAUCAACAACAGAGUGUGCAAUGUUUCUUUUCCCACUCCACUUCCACAUGAGCCUAGAUCUCCCUGAUCAUUCAGAUCUCACAGGCUUGACUGUACUCUACAUAUUGAGAAAGUUCCAGUCCUCCCCUCAACUGUAGAAAUUUCCUAGACCUGUUGGUCAAGCACACUGGCUUAUGCCUGUAAUCUCAGCACUUUGGGAAGACAUUGAGGUCGGGAGUUCGAGAACAGCCUGGCCAACAUGGUGAAACCCUGACUCAAAAAUUUAAAAAUCAGCCAGGCAUGGGAGUGGGUGCAUGUAGUUUCAGCUACUCUGGAGGCUGAGAAAAAAGAAGCACUUAAACCCAGGAGGCAGAGGUAGCAGGGAGUCGAGAUUGUACCACUAUACCUGAGCUUGGGAAACAGACUGAAAUUCUGUCUCAAAAAAACAAAACAGUUUCCUAUACCUUCCAGCUCCUAUCCUUGACAUCUACACACACAGGCCCCAUGCUGCCCAAGACCCAGGGGGCAGAUCAGAAAUGACAUAAGACAUCUGUGUCAUCAAAAUAGGGCAGCUUGUUUCUGUCCUGGCAUCACCCCCCACCUCCACUGUCAUGCCAGUCUCUGUGCUCCUCCACCUCAUUAUGGGAUUUUCUAGAACAAGGACAGCCCUCCCUGUGAGGCACCUCAAUACUCUCCAUAACAGAGCUCUUCCUGCAGAACUGUGAGCUCCCCCGCUGAAGCCAAAGGAAGCACGGCUCAGCCAGGCACAGCGGCUUGUCCUGUGCAUUCCCUCUAGGAACUACUCAAUGGUGAUGACGCUGCUGCUGCCUCUGCUGCCUGGGGGUGUUGUGGCCUGGGUGACUGGCUACCUGAUGGAGAAGCUGCUGUGGCCACUCCUACAGCUGUCCAGGGCCAACAUGCUGGCCGAGUUCUACUGGCUCAGAUGCCGCCUGCUGCAGGGUCUCUGGGAGUAUGAGUCCUGCCCCGGGCUGUGCCACCCUCCUCUCUGGGAGCCCCCUGCCCCGUGGGCACAGCAGCAGGGCCAUGCAGUGGCAGGUGCUGUGGUGGCACAGGGAAGCCUGCAGAGGCUUGUGGCAUCACAGUGCCAGGCCCAGAGCUUAUGGGACUUCCCAAGGUUUUAUGAGACUAGGGCUGAGGCUGCACAUCCUGCUUUUCCCAAGAUUAUAAGUCCUGGCCCAGCAGUGCAGUUAAGGGCGGUGCUGGGAUGACCAUUUCUGGGCUCCUGAGGAGGUUGCCUGUGGCUCAGGUGAGUCUGCUAACAAUUGUGGACUCAUCUUCCUCAAAUGUGAAAUGCAGGUAACCACAUGGCUCACUCACAUGGGUAAGGGACAUGUACAGUUCUUAAUGCACGAGGGACCCCUCAUGUUUCUGGGGGAGCCACCAUACCCAGGCUUGGCAAGGAGUGGUUUAUCUGUGUGAGACUCACAUGGAGGCCUACGGCUCCCUAGAAGCAUGGGUGUAGUCAUGUCUAAGCAGAACGCUGAUCUUGUAAAAAAAAAAAACAGCCUGGUCUUGAAGUUCUGUGUGUGUGACCAUGGGCUUCUCUGUGCUCCUCAGUUCUGAUAGCUGACCACUGGGCUGGUAGUGCCUCCCUUGGGAUGCUGGCCCUGGCCAACAGGUAUCUGGCUGUGCAGGGUGGAUGGUGCUUUCCUGCCAUGAGCACAAGCACCCCCAAGGCACAGCUCAGGGGCCACACUGGCUGGACUGGUCAGACCUUUUCCUUCACAGGCCAUCUCUUCCCUACCCUGAACAGGACAGGUCUGCAGGACACUGCUGUCAUGUUUGAGGGAGCCAUUGGCCAUCCACUUAAAGGGUCAAUUUUUCCCCCGCAGUAGCUUCCUUGAGAUUAAAUAAAUGACUUGUAUGUUUUUUUAUUGUUUUUUGUUUUUUUUUGAGACUAGGUCUCACUCUGUUGUCAUGGUUGGAGUGCAGUGGUGCGCUUUCGGUUCCCUGCACCCUUGACCUCCUGGGUUCAAGUGAUCCUCCUGCCUCAGCCCCACAAACUGCUGGGAUGGCUUAGCACCACUGUGCCCAGUUGAUAUGUGAAUUUUAAGUGCACCAUUCAGUGGCUUCUAGUUUAUUCAGAGUUGUGCAUGCCUCACCACAAUUGAUUUUAAAAUGUUUUUAUCAUCCUAAAAUGACACCCUGCAGCUACCAGUCUGCCUGCUGUGUCUAUGGCUGUGCCUGCUCUGGACAUCUGAUGUAAACAGAAAGAUGACUAUGUGACCUCUGAGCCAGGCUUUGUUACUUAGCACAGCAGUUUUGUAGCAGGUCUGGGGACUCCAUUCCUUGUUAGGGCUGAAUUGGGCCAUAGCCCUUCAGCUCAUGUCAUCCUGAAGCUGGUGGGGGAUCACUGGGCCUCUGGCUGCUGCACCAUGGGAGGGGGACUCCUGGCCUCAGAGCAGGCUAAGCCUGGGCUGUAGGCAUUGUACUCCCACUUCAGUGGGUGGAGCUGGCUCUACUCACACUGCCUUUGGUGCUGCUUCUCCCCAGACCAUGCCCUGGUGGCUGGGGCCCAGCACGUGGUGACUUUUGAUGGCCUGGUGUGGGACUUCAGCAACCAGUGCAGCAGCAUCCUCCUGGCCCAAGACUUCACUCACAACACAUUCUCACUGAUGCUGAGUUGGACAGGCUUGGGGCUCAUGGCCUUGACCGUGAAGCUGAACCAUGUGACCCUCCACCUUCUACUCCAGCCUGCAGGCCUUCAGGCUGUACAAUUCCUCCCUGCCAGGGGAUAGCUGUCCAGACCUCCAGCUGCCUUUUGCCACGAAAAGGAGGGAUGUCCCCAGGAUUAAGCUAACCAGUGAGGACAGGGUCUCCAUCUCCUGUGACAUGCCAACCGGCCUCUGCAGUCUGACUCUGCGCCUCUGGCACCAUGGCAUAUCCGCUGGCCUUCUGGACACCAAUGACAAUGAAGCAGGCACUGAUCUAAUGUUGCUGGAUGGCUUGAGUUUUGCGUCUGUCCCACCAGGUGGAUGGUGACUGCAGGGCCACCGGGAAGCCUCAGCCGACCUGCCCAAGACAGAGCCCCUCUCGCCAGGCCUUCUUUCAGGACCCCCCGUCCAGCUUGGGGAACUGCUUCUGGGUGGUUAGUGUGAGCCUGGGUCCUGGGGCACAGCAAGCUUUUUCCCCAAUCUACCCUGGGGAGUGUCAUGGAGCAGAGAGUCCUAGGUUAGAGACGAUGACUGGGUGUCCCUGAUUUCAGGUGGAGCCUGCACCAUUCCUUAGCCUGUGUGUGCAGGACCCCUGAGGCACCCAGGAGCUCCAGCCUUCCUGCAUUCUGGCAGCCACCUACAUCCACCUCUGUGCCUGCAGCUUCGUGUCCCUAGCCCUCCUCCAUUAGUGCAAUAAGCUGCCCCAGCCAGCUGGCACUCUGCCCCCUAGCUGGCAUCUGCCUUCCAGCCAUAGGGAAAACCCGUCUCUUUCUCUCGUCAGGGUGAACAAAUAAUUGUCAUUCAAGGAGCUAAGAGUCAAAACAAAUCAUUUAAGGCCUGAUACAGCUUGGAUGUGUGUCCCCUCCAAAUCUCACGUUUGUUAGAGGCUGUAUAUCCCUCAUGGAUGGCUUAGCAUCCUGCGUUUGGUGAAGCGUGAGUUCUUGCUCUAUUAGUUUACCUGAGAGCAGUUUGUUUAUAAAGAGCCUGGCCCCUCCUCUCUCUCUUUGCACCCACUCCCAUUUCUGCCAUGAUCAUAAGCUUCCCAAGGCCUCACCAGAAGCCAAGCAGAUGCUGGAGCUGUGCUUGUACAGCCUGUAGAACUGUGAGUUAAUUAUCUCUCUUAUUUAUGAUCUACCCAGGCUGGAGUAUAGUGGCACAAUCUCACCUCACUGCAACUUCCACCUCCCAGGUUCAAGCAAUACUCCUGCCUUAGCCUCCCAAAAAUACAGGCAGGUAUUUUUGUAGGAUGGUGUUUUUCUAUGUUGGCCAGGCUGGUCAUGAAUUCCAGGUGAACCUCUGGUGAUCCACCUGCCUCGGCCUCCCAAAGUGCUGAAUGACAGGCGUGAGCCACCACGCCCAGCCUUACUAGGGAUUUGAAUGUCCACUAUUGUUUAGGGAAAAUGCUCCACCCCUGUUUUCCCUCUGCUCUCAUACUGCAAAAAUCAUCAACAUAGAAGAUGACUUCUGUGAGCAAACGUGUGGAGGUUUGUCCCCACUACCAGGGCAGACCUCUAAUUCAGUUCUAACACUAGCUACCUUGAGAUCUUUCAGCCUGUGCUGCAUCCAAAUGCCACAGCCAAAGCCCCACUAAAAGGGCAUAGAGGUCAGUAUCAACAAGAGGAGUGGACUUCCAAGAGCUACAGAUAUCAGAAUUAGCGGCUGCUAUUUAUAGACAUUUAAAACUUAAUCAAUUGGAAAAUACGACAAAAGGAGGAUGAAAUGAGAUGAUCCAACAUGUCUCAAAGAAAUUCCAGGCUGGGUGUGGUGGCUCAUUUCUGUAAUCCCAGCACUUGGGAGGCCAAGAUGAGUGAAUCACCUAAGGUCAGGAGUUUGAGACCAAUCUGGCCAACAUGGUGAGAACCCAUCUCUACUAAAAAUACAAAAAUCAGCCAGGAGUAGUGGUGUGUGCCUUUAAUCCCAGCUACUCAGGAGGCUGAGGCAGGAGAAAUGCUUCAACCCAGGAGGUGGAGGUGGCAGUGAGCCAAGAUCAUCUUGCCACUGCAUUCCAGCCUGGUGACAGAGUGAGAGUCUGUCUCAACAACAAAAAAAAAUUACAGAAUGAAAACAGACAGUACCCUGAACUCUUUAGAGUCAGGAGGCACAAUCCCCAAUACAAUAAAUACAUUUGUACCUAGACCCAUCCAAACACAAUUGCAGAAAAGACAAAGAAAAGGUCCUAAAAGCUACUGAGGAUAAUGGAAAGAAGGAAGAACAUGUUGACAACUGCUUUCCAACCAGCAGCAACAGAAGACAUGGAGUAAGAGAAAGUAAGCAUGAGAUUAGAGAUGAUCCCCAGCUCAACUAUUACUGAAUGAAAUAACCUUUCAGCACUGAUCUGUCUAGAGAUCUCUUUACCACAAACGGACACUUACUCAAGGGACACAUCCACAUGUUCAUUUAUGUACUGUCUGUGUCUGCUUUCCUGUUACAGGGGCAGAGUAUCUGCGAGGGAGACCACAUUCUUGCUCUGUGAAAGACUCAGGAGGAUGAAAAGAUAAGCUACAGAUUGGGUGUUUAAAAACCACCUAUCAGACCAAGGACUCAUCUCUAGAAUACAUAAAGAACUCAGAGCUCACAAGUAGGCCACACUUGUAUUCCUAGCGUUUUGUGAGGCUGAGGCGAGAUGGCUUGAACCCGGGAGGUCAAGGCUGCAGUGAGCCAUGACUACACUCCUGGCUGCGUGACAGAGUGAGAGCUUGUCUCACAAAACAAAACCUCCAAAGUAAAGAAUGGGAAAUAAACACAUCAACAAUGUUUGCACUCCCAGCCAUAGAGAAACAAGAUAGUGCUACACACCUGAGCUCCAGUGAGUUCCGGUACAAGUUGGUGAGUUGCAGGGACUCUGCGGCAUAAAGCAUUAGUUGAACAUCCAAAUGGCCAGGUUGUGAUUUCAGCAUGCACUGACGAAUGCACCAUAAAAAGCACUGUUCUAGUUCCAAAAAGGUUGUGGCUGCUGAGAAUAAAGCUAGGCUUAGAGGCAGGAAUCAAGGUCACGGUCUACUAGCCAGAUCCUCUCGGGAAACAGCAUUGGAUUCAUGAAGUGCCAAGACAGGAGGUGGUGUGGCUCCACGGGAAGGUUGGAGAAUCUGGGAAUCAAGCAGAAGCACUCAUUGUUCUGACCAUGUACAUACAAAACUGUCAGCUACUACAGCCAUCAACAGAACAUCUGGGAUGACAGGCAUCUCAGAAGAUUUAUAGCCACAGGGUAACAAUAAAGUAUUAUCUGCAGUUAAGGUCCUCUGUCUUCCUCUUAGGGUUUGUUUAUUUAUUGAGACAGAGUCUUGCUCUGUCGCCCAGGCUGAAGUGCAGUGGAGCAAUCUUAGCUCACUGCAACCUUCUCCUCCCUGGUUCCAGUAAUUCUCCUGCCUCAGCCUCCUGAGGAGCUGGGAUUACAGGCAUGUGCCACCACGCCCUGCUAAUUUUUUUGUGUUUUUAGUGGAGACGGGGGUGCACCAUGUUGGCCAGGAUGGUCUCAAACAUUAAACCUCAUGAUUUGUCUGCCUCGGCCUCCUACAGUGCUGGGAUUACAGGUGUGAGCCACCGUGUCUGGCCGGGUCUAUUUAUUUUAAAUCAAGGGCUAAAUUCUUCCCCUCUCUUGAAUACCAGUGAAGUAUUUAAGAAAAGCAGUCACCAGUCACAGUUAACAUUUGAAGGACAAAUUCAAAGGUGAUUGUAAGUUACAAAAUAAAGGCAUCUUAUGAAAUCUCAUAAGAAAAAAGGAAUAUUAAGAUACUUUUUAUUAUCUUUUUGAGAUAGAAUCUUGCUCUGUCCUCCAGGCUGGAGUACAGUGGUGCAGCCUCCCAAGUAGUUGGGAUUACAGGCAUCCACCACGAUGUUUUUCCAUUUUUAGUAGAGACGGGGUUUCACCAUGUUGGCCAGGCUGGUCUCAAACUCCUGACUUCAUGUGAUCCUUCCACCUAGCACCUGACCAGAGAAAUUAAGACAUUCUCAGAUUAACAAAAGCUGAGAUAGUUCAUUACAUUGGUACCUCUCCUGCAAGAAAUGCUAAAGGGAGUCCUUCAAGUCAAAACAAAAAGAUGCUAGGUGGACAUUUGAAGCCACACAUAAAGACCUGUAUUAUUAGAAUUUUGAUUCACAUCUCUGAUUUUUAUUAUUUUAUUGGAUUUAAAAGAGAUAUGUAACCAUAAACCUAUGUUAAAUGUGUAAUUUAUUUUAAAAAAUUAGGCAUGGUGGCAUGCACUUGUAGUCUUAGCUAUGGAGGAUCACUUGAGUCCAGGGUCUUCAGGUUACAAUGAGCUAUGACAGUGACACUGCACUCCAGACUGGGUGACAGAGUGAGACCCUUUUUCUAAAAUAUAGAUAUACUUUGUAGCAUCAAGAACACAGGAUAAGGCAGAGCUGUCCAGGAGUAGAGUAUUUGUAUGUGAUUGAACUUACUGGUUUAAAAUCAAUUGCUAUAACUUCAGGAUGUUUUAUAUAAUUCUCAUAGUAAUUACAAAGAAAAUAUCUACAGAAUGUACACACAAAAGAAAGUGAGAAGGCAUUCUAAGUGUGUCACACCAAAAAAUCAAUUAACACAAAGGAAGGCAGAAAGAAGGAAAUGAGAGAGAAAACAAACCAGUAAGCCAUGCAGAAAACAAUCCACAGAGUGGCACCGGGAGGCCCCAUAAAUGGUGUGCUGGAGUCCUCCCAGAGGAACUGCUCACCUUAGUCCCUGGCUGUGGGCCUCUUGGCACAGUCAACCACUAGGCUAUAUAGUUUCCUCAGAUGAUAAUCUUUACAAAUGCAAAUUAUUUCCACAAUCUAAAGAUAGUAAGAGACUUACACAUAGGAUGAAAGAAGAUACUCCAUGGAAAUGGUAACCGAAAAAAGGAGGUGGAGCUAGAUUAAUCUCAGACUAAAUAGACUUAAGGUCAAAAGCUGUUGUAAGAGAUAAUAACAGUCCAUUCACCAAAAAGAUGCAACAGUUAUAAAGGUACAUGCAACGCACCUCAGAGCUCCUAAAUAUAUGAUGCAAACACUGACAGAAUGAAAACAGAAGCAGACGGUUCUAUGAAAAUUGUAGGAAAUUUCAACACCUCACUUUUUUUUUUUUUCCAUACAGAAUUUUUGUUUCCCAGGCUGGAAUGCAGCUGCAACCUCCUGAAUUCAAGUGAUUCCCGUGCCUCUGCCUCAGAGUAGCUGGGAUUACAGGUGUAUGCCACCAUGCCCAGCUAUUUUUCAUAGAGAGGGAUUUACCACAUUGGCCAGGCUCAUCUUGAACUCCUGACCUCAAGUGAUCCACCCACCUUGGCCUCGCAAAGUGCUGGGAUUACAGGCAUGAGCCUCUGUGCCUGGCCCAAUAACUGACUUUCAAUAAUGGAAACAACACCGAGACAGAAGAUCAAGUAGGAAACAGAGAGCUUGAAUGAUACUAUAGAGGAAUUGGACCUACCAGACAUACACAGAUGAGUUCACCCAGCAGCAGAAUACACAUUCUUCAAAGUACAUGUGGAAUGUUCUAUGGGAAAGAUCAUAUAUUAGGCCUGAAAGCAAGAUUUAAUACACUUUGAAUGACUGAAAUUAUAAUAGCAGAAGGAAAACUGGAAUAUUCACAAAUCUAUGGGAACUCAACAACACACUGCAAAACUAUGGAUCAAAGAAAAAUAAUAAGGAAAAUUAUAAAGUAUUUUGAGACAAAAUAUAUCAAAUCUUAUAGGAUGCAGUAAAAGCAGUGCUAUGAGGGAAAUUUAUAGCUGUACAUGCUUACAUUUAAAGAAAGCUGGCUGGAGGUGGUGGCUCAAAUCUGUAAUUCCAGCACUUUGGGAGGCCGAGACAGGCAGCUAACCUGAUGUCAGGAGUUUAAGACCAGCCUGGCUAACAUGGGGAAACCCCAUCUCUACUAAAAACAUAAAAUUAGCCAGGUGUGGUGGCAAGCACCUGUAGUCUCAGCUACUUGGGAGGCUAAGGCAGGAGAAUCAUUUGAACCCAUGAGGAGGAGGUUGCAGUGAGCCAAGAUUGUACCACUACACUCCAGCCUGAAAGACACAGCUAGACUCCAUUUUCCCCCACCCCAACAAAAAAAUAAAGCAGCAGCAGCAGCCAGGCAUAGUGACACUGUUCUAUAAUCCCACCUACUUGGAAGGCUGAGGCCAGGAGAUUGCUUGAACCCAGGAGUUUGAGACUAACUCAGCAAGUGGCAAGAUUCUCUCUCAAAUAAAAGAAAAAGAAAAGGUGUCAAACCACAAUCCUAGCUUUGUACCUUAAAUUAUUAGAAAGAGAAAACAGCCUAAACCCAAAGCUAGGAGAAAGAAAGAAAUACUAAAGGUUAGAACAGAAAUAAAUGAAAUAGAAGAUGAAUCAGUGACCAAAAACUUGACAAGAAAGUACAAGAACAGAUGGCUUCAUGGGUGACUUGUACCAAACAGUUACAGAAUCAAUACCAAACCUGCUCAUCUUCUUCCAAAAUACUGAGGAAAGAAUACCUCCAAACUCAUUCUGUGAGGCCAGCAUUACUGAUACCAAAGACAGACAAAUCAGCAGAAGAAAACACACCACUAUUCCUGAUCAAUACAGAUGCAAAAGUGCUCAAGAAAAUACUAAUGAGAAUUCAACAGCAUCAUAAAAGGAUUAUACAUGAUCAAGUAAGAUGUAUUCCUGAAUUGCAAAGGUGGUUACCAUACAAACAUUGGGAUAAGAUACCACAUUAACAGAAUGAAGGAAAGAAAAUACAAUUUGUUUCAAUUAGUACAAAGAAAGCAUUUAAUGAAGUUUGAUAUCCUUUCAUUAUUAAAAACAUACUGACUAGAAAUCGAAACAACCUCAAUGUGUAAUAAAGGUCAUAUGAACAACCUCCAGCUAGUAUCAUUCUCAAUGAUAAGAGACAAAGUUUUCCAAGAUGAGUAAUAAAACAAUGAUGCCUGCUUUCAUAAUACUGGAAAUCCUAGCCAGAGCUAUUUAGAAAGAAAGGAAAAAGACAAGGCAUCAAAAUUGGAAAGGAAGAAGUAAAAUUUUCUUUGUUAACAAACGACAUGAUCUUCUUCGUAGAAAAUCCUGAAGACUGCACAAAAUAAACUGUUAGAACUAAUAAUUUGUCCAAGUUUCAGGAUUAUGAAAUCAACAUACAGAAGUCAGUUGCAUUUCUACACACCAACAAUCAACAAUCCAAGAAGGAAAUUAAGAAAACAGUUCCUGCUGGCUUGGUUGUGGAUGCCUAUAGUUUCAGCUACUUGGGAGGCUGAGGUAGGAGAGUUGCUUGAGCCUGGGAGGUCAAUGCUGUCAGUUUUUAUAAUGAUUAUGCCUGUGAAUAGCCAGUGUACUCCAGCCUGGGCAACAUAGUGAGACACUACCUUAAAAAGAAAAGAAAAGAAAAGAAAAGAAAAAAGUCAGUUUACAAUAGCAUCAAAAAGAAUAAAACAGGAAUAAACUCAACCAGGAGGCAAAGACUCAGGCAGGAUUUUGAGUUCCAGAGACCGGUUGUGUAAUAAAUAUAAAGGCAUCUCAUAUUUAUGUAUUAAAAAGCUUAGUUUCAUUAAGAUGUCAAUACGACUCAAAGUGAUCUACAGGUUUAGUUUACUUGCUCUCAAAAUGUCAGUGACAUUUUUCUUCAAUUGUAGAAAAAUCCAUCCUUAUAAAUUGUUUAAAGUUUAUAUGCAAUUUCAAGAGACCCCAGAUGGCCAAAGCAAUGAAAAAGUAACAAAGUUGGAAGUCUUUUACUUCUCAAUUUCAAAAUGUAUUAUUGAAAGGUACAGAGGGCUGGGCAUGGUGGCUCAAGCCUGUAAUCCCAGCACUCUCGGAAGCUGAGGUGGGCAGAUCACGAGGUCAAGAGAUCAAGACCAUCCUGGCCAAUAUGAUGAAACCUCAUCUCUACUAAAAAUACAAAAAUUAGCCAAAUGUGGUGGCACACACCUGUGGUCCAAGCUACUUGGGAGGCUGAGGCAGAAGAAUCCCUUGAACCCAGGAGGCAGAGGUUGCAGUGAGCUGAGAUUGUGCCACUGCACUCCAGCCUGGUGACAGAGCAAGACUCUGCCCGAGGAAAAGAAAAAAAAAGCUCCAGUGGUCAAAAGUGUGGUAUGACAGUAAAGACAUACAGAGAGACCAGUGGAAUGGAAUACAGAGUGCAGAAGGAAACUCUUACACAUAUGGUCAAAUGAGUUCAAUAAGGAUGCCAAGGCUAUUCAAUCAGGGAAGGGACAGUCUUUCAACAAAUGGUGUGGGGAAACUAGAUAUUCACAGGCAAAAGAAUGAAGUUAAAGCCUUACCUUAUAUCAUGUUAAAAAAAAAGAAAGAAAGAAAACCUCAAUAAUAAAUCAAAGACCUAAGUGUAAGAUCUGAAGCUAUACAACUCAUUUUUUUCAGACAGUCUCAUUCUGACACUGAGGGUGGAGUGCAGUAGUGCGAUCUCGGCUCACUGCAACCUCCGGCUCCCAGGUUCAAGCAAUUCUCUUCCUCAGCCUCCCAAGUAGCUGGGAUUACAGGAGCCCAUCACUAUGCCUAGCUAAUUUUUGUAUUUUUAGUAGAGACAGGGCAUCUUGGUCAGGCUUGUCUUGAGCUCCUGACCUCAUGAUUCACCCACUUCGGCUCCCAAUGUGCUGGGAUAUAGGCAGGAGCCACUGUUCCCAGCUGACAACUCUUAAAACAUAGAAGGAGAGCUUCAUUUGGCCAUGAUUUCUUAGAUAUGACACCAAAGGCCCAAACAACAAAAGGAAAAGUAGAUAGAUUGGAUUGCAUCGAUGGAUACUAUUAACAGACUGAAAAGGCCACCUACGGAAUGACAGAUGUGCAAAUUACACGUCAAAGAGUUCCCAUCUAGAAUAGAUAAAGCACUCUCACAAUGCAACAACAAAAACCCAACUAACACGGUUCAGAAAUGUACAAAGGAUGUGAAUAGACAGUCCACCAAAUAAGAGAUGCAAAUGGCCAAUCAGCACAUAAAAAGAUGCUCAUCAUCACUAUUAGGGAAACAAACCAAAACCACAUGGAGAGGCUGGGCAUGCUGCUCACGCCUGUAAUCCCAGCACUCUAAAAGGACGAAGUGGGCGGAUAACUUGAGGCCAGGAAUUUGAGACCAGCCUGGCUGACAUGGUAACACCAUAUCUCUACUAAAAAUAGAAAAAUUAGCUGGGUGUGGUGCCAUGUGCCUGAAGUCCCAGACGCUCAGCAGGCUGAGGCAGGAGAAUUGCUUGAACCUGGGAGGUGGAGAUUGCAGUGAGCCAAGAUUGCACCGCUGCACUGUAGCCUGGGUUAUAGAGCGAGACUCCAUCUCAAAAAAAGAAAAGAAGACCUACAUGGAGAGGCCACCUCAGACUCAUUAGGAUGGCUGUAAUUCAUACAGAAAAUAAAGUGUUAGCGAGGAUGCUGAGCGGUUGGAAGCCAUAUGUACUCUUACUGGGAAUUUUAAAUGGAGCUGUAGCUAUGGAAAACAGAGUUUAAACUUUUCAUCGAAAAGUUAAAAACAGGCCAGGCGUGGUGGCACACACUUGUAAUCCCAGCACUUUAUGAGGCCGGGGCAGGUGAAUCACUUGAGGCUAGGAGUUCAAGACAAGUCUGGCCAAUGUGGUGAAAUCCAUCUCUACUAAAAACACAAAAACUAGCCAUGCGUGAUGGUGCAGGCCUGUAAUCCCAGCUACUUGGAAGGCUGAGGGUUAAGAAUCGCUUGAAACCAGGAGGCAGAGGUUGCAGUAAGCCAAGAUUGCACCACUGCAUUCCAGCCUGGGUGACAGAGCAAGACUCUGUCUCAAAACAAGGAUUACCAUAUAAUCCAGCAUUUCCACUUCUGGGUGUGUACUCCCUACAAUUCAAAGGGCCUCACACAUUUUACACACCGAUGUUCAUAGCAGCAUUGUUGAGAACAAAUUCUGACAUGUGUAAGAAAUCAUAUUGUUUACUGAGAAAUCCUAUUGAGAGAGGCGGCAAGGGAAACCUAGUCGGCCUCCCAAAGCGGAAAACUGCCCCCAAAGCAGCAAACUGCUUAAAGCAUUAUAAAACAGUAUCCAAUAUAAUUAGGUCUCACACCAGAUGAAUUAGUUCUUGGAACACAGGAUGUGUAACCCUUUCCUUUGUUCCCUUGUAAAGAGCACUUUCUAGUUUGUCUGUAACCUAUAGUAAACAUGCACUAGCUGCCUGGUUAGUUUACCUUUAACCAAUGAAAGAAAACAGAGCAUCCUCUUGUAAAACUUGUCACUGGAAAGUCAAGAAUAAAUACAUAGGUUAGAGUCUGCUCUGGACUCUCAGCUGGAAAUGCUGUGAGACCCCUGCUGCUCCACUCUGAACCCAUCUUUUGCUAUCUCUUUCUGUUUCUUAAUUUCUUCAGUUCCGCAUAAGUUGGGGUCUCCAAGGCUGAGCUGGUCUUGGCACAGCGGUAUUCAUAGAAGCUGAAUAAUAGCAGCAAUCCAAGUGCCCACUGACGAAUAAACGAAUGUGGUCUCUCCAUACAGUCAAAUAUUAUUCAGCCUUAAAAAGGAAGGAAAUUCCAACUCAUGCUAACACAUGGAUGAAACUUUAGGACGUUAUGCAAAGUGAAAUAAGGCAGUCACAAAAAGAGAAAUACUGUAUGAUUCCAUUUAUGGGAAGGACCUAGAGUAAUCAGAUUCACAGAGACAGAAAGUAGAGUGGUGGCGGCCAGGAGCUGGGAGAGCCAGUAAUGGCUUAUUUAAUGGGGACACAGUUUCAGUUGGGUAGGAUUUAGUGAGUUCCAGAGUUUGGCUGCACAAAAAUAUAAUUGUACUUACACUGAGGUGGGUACUUUAAAUGGUGGUUGUAAAUUUUUUGUGUUUUACCACAUUGAAUAUUUUUGACAUUGGAAAUGUAUAUUUAUUAAGCAACUCCAUGCUGGGCAUGAUGAUACAAUUAUCAACACCGUAGUUAUAAAAAACACUCUUAGGUACAAUUCUAAGUGUGAAAACUAGCACAGACAUACAGUAAUAGACAGACCCACAAAACUCAGAUAGUAGGCUUAUUAGACAGAGAUCAUAGAUUUCAGCAGGGAACCAGAAAUUAUUAAAAUUAGUAAUUUAGCCAAUCAGCUAAUUUACUAAUUACUGAAAAUUACAUACUGAAAAAGAACCAGAAUGUAGUAGAAAGAGAUGGCAGAAAGGCCACCUAAAGCCCAUCUUUUAGACAUUGCUCUAAGCAGAUGAGGGACAGAAGGGCACUUCCUGGCCAGGUGUGGUGGUUCAUGCCUGUAGUCCCAGCUCCUCAGGAGGCUGGGGCAGGGAAGUCACUUGAACCCAGCAGGCAGAGUUUGCAGUGAGCUGAUACUGUGCCACUGCACUCCAGCCUGGGCGACAGAGCAAGACUCCAUCUCAAAAAACAAAUAGCAGGGUGUGGUGGCUCACGCCUGUAAUCCCAGCACUUUGGGAGGCCGAAGCGGGUGGAUCGUUUGAGGUCAAUUGACAACUUAGAGAGGAAUAUGAGUGAAUUGAUGAAGCUGAAAAACACAACAUGAGAACUUCACGAAGCAUGCACAAGUUUCAACAGCCAAAUUGACCAAGCAGAAGAAAGGAUAUCAGAGGUCAAAAAUCAAAACAAUGAAAUAAAACGAGAAGGCAAGAUUGGAAAAAAAGCGCAAACAGAAAUGAACAAAGUCUCCAAGAAAUGGGAGACUAUGUGAAGAGACCUAAUCUACAUUUGAUAGGUGUACCUGAAUGUGACAAAGAAAAUGAAUCCAAGCUGGAAAAUACUCUUCAGGAUAUUAUCCAGGAAAACGUCAACAACCUAGUAAGGCAGGCCAAUAUUCAAGUACAGGAAAUACAGAGAACACCACAAAGAUAUUCCUCAAGAAGAGCAAGCCCAAGGCACAUAAUCGUCAGAUUCACCAGGAUUGAAAUGAAGGAGAAAAUGCUAAGGGCAGCCAGAGAGAAAGGUCGGGUCACCCACAAAGGGAAGCCCAUCAGACUCAUAGCAGAUCUCUCGUCAGAAACCCUACAAGCCAGAAGAGAGUGGAGGUCGAUAUUCAACAUCCUUAAAGAAAAGAACUUUCAACCCAGAAUUUCAUAUCCAGCCAAACUAAACUUCAUAAGUGAAGGAAAAAUAAAAUUCUUUGUGAAUAAGCAACUACUCAGAGAUUUUGUCACCACCAGGCCUGCUUUACAAGAGCUUCUGAAAAAGGCAUUACACAUAGAAAGGAACAACCAGUACCAACCACUCCAAAAACAUACCAAAUGGUAAAAAGCAUCAACAAAAUGAAGAAUCUGCAUCAACUAAUGGGCAAAACGGCCAGCUAGCAUCAAAAUGGCAGUAUAAAAUUCAAAUAUAACAAUAUUAACACUAAAUGUAAAUGGGCUAAAUGCACCAAUCAAAAGACACAGACUGGCAAAUUGGAUAAAAAGCCAAAAUCCAUCAGUGUGCCGUAUCCAGGAAACCCAUCUCACAUGCAAGGAUACACAAAGACUCAAAAUAAAGGGAUGGAGGAAGAUUUACCAAGCAAACAGAGAGCAAAAAGAAGAAAAAGUUGCAAUUCUCGUCUCUAAUAAAAUAGACUUUAAAGCAACAAAGAUCAAAAGAGACUAAGAAGGAUAUCACAUAAUGAUAAAAGGAUUGAUACAACAAGAAGAGCUAAUGAUCCUAAAUAUAUAUGGACCCAAUACAGGAGCACCCAGAUACAUAAGGCAAGUUCUUAAUGACUUACAAAGAGACUUAGAUUCCCACACAAUAAUAGAGGAAGACUUUAACACUCCACUUUCAAUAUUAGACAGAUCAACCAGACAGAAAGUUAAGAAGGAUAUCCAGGACCUGAACUCAGACCUAAAACAAGCAAACCUGAUAGACAUUUACAGAAUUCUCCACCCGAAAUCUACAGAAUAUACAUUCUUCUCAGCACCACACCACACCUACUCUAAAAUUGACCACAUAAUUGAAAGUAAAGCACUCCUCAGCACUCCUCAACAACUGACAUAAUAACAAACAGUCUCUCAGACCAUAGUGCAAUCAAGUUAGAACUCAGAAUUCAGAAACUAACUCAGAAUCGCACAGCUUCAUGGAAACUGAACAACUAGCUCUUGAAUGUUGACUGGAUAAACAAUGAAAUGAAGGCAGAAAUAAAGAGGUUCUUUAAAACCAACGAAAACGAAGACACAACAUACCAGAAUCUCUGGAACAUAUUUAAAGCAGUCUGUAGAGGAAAAUAUAUAGAAAUAAGUGACCACAUGAGAAAAGUGAAGAGUUCCAAAAUUGACACCCUAUCAUCAAAAUUGAAAGAGCUAGAGGCAAGAUAAAAAAAAACUCAAAACCUAGAAGAAGACAAGAAAUAACUGAGAUCAGAGCAGAACUGAAAAAGAUAGAGACACAAAUAACCCUUCAAAAAAUUAAUAAAUCCAGAGAGUGUUUUUUCGAAAAGAUCAACAAAAUGACAGACCACUAGCCAUAUUAAUUUCAAAAGAGAGAAUAACCAAAUAGAUGCAAUAAAAAAGAUAAAGGGGAAAUCACCACAGAUUCCACAGAAAUUCAAACCAUCAUCACAGAAUAUUACAAACAACUCUAUGCACAUAAACUAGUAAACCUGGAAGUAAUGAAUAAAUUCCUGAACACUUGCAUCCUCCCAAGCCUAAACCAGGAAGAAAUCAAAACCAUGAAUAGACCAAUAACAAGAUCUGAAGUUGAGGCAGCAAUUAAGAGCCUACCACACAAGAAAAGCCUGGGUCCGAAUAGGUUCACAGCCGAGUUCUACCAGACACACAAAGAGGAACUGUUACCAUACCUCCUGAAACUAUUCCAAAUAAUCCAAAAAGAAGGAAACCUUCCCAAAUCAUUUUAUGAGACCAACAUCAUUCUGAUACCAAUACCUGGCAGAGUCUCAACAAGAAAAGAAAACUUCAGGCCAAUAUCCAUGAUGAACACAGAUGCAAAAAUCUUCAAUAAAAUACUGGCAAGCCAAUUGCAACAGCACAUCAAAGAGCUUAUCCACCAUGAUCAAGUAGGUUUCAUCCCGAGGAUGCAAGGCUGGUUCAACAUAUGCAAGUCUAUAAACAUAAUUUUCCACAUAAACAGAACCAAAACAAAAACCACGUGAUUAUCUCGAUGCAGAGAAGGCCCUUGACAAAAUUCAACAGUCCUUUAUGCUAAAAAUCCUCAAUAAACUCGGUAUUGAUGGAACGUAUUUCAAAAUAAUAAAAGCUAUUUACAACAAACCAACAGCCAAUAUGAUACUGAAUGUGCAAAAACUGGAAGCAUUCCCUUUGAAAUCUGACACUAGACAAGGAUGCCCUCUCUUACCACUCCUAUUCAAUAUAGUACUGGAAGUUCUAGCCAAAGCAAUUAGGCAAGAAAAAGAAAUAAAGGGUAUUCAAAUAGGAAAAGAGGAAGCCAAAUUGUUUCUAUUUACAGACGACAUGAUUGUAUAUCUAGAAGACCUCAUCGUCUCAGCCCAAAUCUCCUGAAACUGAUAAGCACCUUCAGCAAAGUCUCAGGAUAUAAAAUCAAUGUGCAAAAAUCACAAGCAUUCCUAUACACCAAUAACACACUUAAAAAGAGCCAAAUCAAGAAUGAACUGCCAUUCACAAUUGCUACAAAAAGAAUAAAAUACCUAGGAAUACAACUAACAAGGGAUGUAAAGGACCUCUUCAAGGAGAACUACAAACCACUGCUCAAUGAAAUAAGAGAGGACACAAACAGAUGCAGAAACAUUCCAUGUUCAUGGUUAGGAAGAAUAAAUAUCAUGAAAAUGGACAUACUGUCCAAAGUAAUUUACAGAUUCAAUGCUAUCCCCAUCAAGCUACCAAUGACCUUCUUCACAGAACUGGAAAAAACUAUCUUGAACUUUAUAUGGAACCAAAAGAGAGCCCACAUAGCCAAGUCCAUUCUAAGUAAAACAACACAGAGGGAGGCAUCACACUACUGGACUUCAAACUAUACUACAAGCCUAUGGCAAUCAAAACAGCAUGGUACUGGUACCAAAACAGAGAUAUAGACCAAUGGAACAGAACAGAGGCAUCAGAGGCAACACAACAUAUCUACAACCACACAAUCUUUGAUAAACCCGACAAAAACAAGCAAGGGGGAAAGGAUUCUCUGUUUAAUAAAUGGUGUUGGGAAAACUGGCUAGCCAUGUGCAGAAAGCAGAAACUGGACCCCUUCCUGACACCUUACACUAAAAUUAACUCCAGAUGGAUUAAAGACUUAAACAUAAGACCUAACACCAUAAAAACCCUAGAAAAAAAUCUAGGCAAAACCAUUCAGGACAUCGGAGUAGGCAAGGACUUCAUGACCAAAACACCAAAAGCAUUGGCAACAAAAGCCAAAAUAGAUAAAUGGGACCUAAUCAAACUCCACAGCUUCUGCAAGGCAAAAGAAACAGUAAUUAGAGUGAAUCGGCAACCAACAGAAUGGGAAAAAAUGUUUGCGGUAUACCCAUCUGACAAAGGGCUGAUAUCCAGAAUUUACAAAGAACUCAAACAGAUUUACAAGAAAUAAAAAAACAAGCUCAUUCAAAAGUGGGCAAAGGAUAUGAACAGACACUUUACAAAAGAAGACAUACAUGAGGCCAACAAACAUAUGAAAAAAUGCUCAUCAUCACUGGUCAUUAGAGAAAUGCAAAUCAAAACUACAUUGAGAUACCAUCUCUCACCAAUUAGAAUGGCAAUCAUUAAAAAAUCUAUUUUUAGAUUUUUUAAUCUAAAAAUUUUAACAGAUGCUGGGACGAUGUGGUGAAAUAGAAACACUUUUACACUGUUGGUGGGAGUGUAAAUUAGUUCAACCAUUGUGGAAGACAGUGUGGCAAUCCCUCAAGGACCUAGAAAUAGAAAUUCCAUUUGACCCAGCAAUCCCAUUACUGUGUAUAUAUCCAAAGAAUUAUAAGUCAUUCUACUAUAAGGACACAUGCACACGAAUGUUCAUUGCAGCACUGUUUACAAUAGCAAAGACCUGGAAUCAACCCAAAUGCCCAUCGAUGAUAGACUGGACUGGGAAAAUGUGGCACAUAUAGAUAAUCGAAUAUUAUACAGCAAUCAAAAACAAUGAGUUUGUGUCCUUUAUAGGGACACGGGUGAACCUGGAGAACAUCAUUCUCAGCAAACUGACACAAGAACAGAAAAUGAAAUACCGCAUAUUCUCACUUAUAGGCGGGUGUUGAACAAUGAGAACACAUGAACACAGGGAGGGGAG